rnacentral:tRNA from 1 species
CUGCUCGUAGCUCAGUCUGGUUAGAGCGCUCUACUGAGGGUGGAGAGGUCGUGGGUUCGAAUCCCACCGGGUAUU